rnacentral:rRNA from 1 species
UACGUAGGGUGCGAGCGUUAAUCGGAAUUACUGGGCGUAAAGCGUGCGCAGGCGGUUUUGUAAGUCAGAUGUGAAAUCCCCGGGCUUAACCUGGGAACUGCGUUUGAAACUACAAGGCUAGAGUGUAGCAGAGGGGGGUGGAAUUCCACGUGUAGCAGUGAAAUGCGUAGAGAUGUGGAGGAACACCGAUGGCGAAGGCAGCCCCCUGGGUUAACACUGACGCUCAGGCACGAAAGCGUGGGGAGCGAUCCGG